UCUUAUGGAUGAGCAAAGAAAGUGGUUUCUUGAGAUGGAAUCUACUCAUCGUUAAGAUGUGUGAA
rnacentral:pre_miRNA from 1 species